UGUCAUAGAGGCAACAUAAACCCCAAAGGAUUUGUUGAGACUUUAUGAAAUAACAACAUCCAACCAAGAAACUCAAGGCUCUUUACAAGUAUUCCUGAAUUAAGCUGAUGAGCAGAGCUGGUUGCUGCUUCAUUGCUUUUCCUGCCACUAGUGGAUGAUUCUGCUGUUCCUGUGUUUAAGAAAGACCUCUCCCUUAAGUGAGACCAUGAGCAAUGACCACACUUCAGAAAAGCAGGAGAUCCUCACAUACUGUGGAAAAAUACAAGAGUGUCAAUAAUGGAUCUGAACAUGAUCUGCCAGCAAGCUGGAUGAAUUGUGUGAUUGUCACAUCCACUGAAUGUUCUGGAGCAUCCCUGACAAGGUAGGAAUAUGUACAGAUUUUAUGAUCUGAUUGCCACCUUCCUGCAGUGUAAUUCACCACCACAGCUGUGGAUAAAUACUGCAGGAAAGAUACCAUGAAAGGUAAAGUAUACAGGUUUAAAGCUUCCAACAGCUACAGCCAGGCAUUAAUAAUGUAAUUUGUGUCAGCCCAUAGGGGCCUGUAGCAAGGGAAUUAGGACACCUGGCCACAGAGCCAGAGUCAUGAGCACAGGUUGUUCUUCAAAUGUGUGCUGGCAGUGGUUCCCAAGGGAUCCUGCUUUAAAUGAAGGCUUAGUCACAC
rnacentral:lncRNA from 1 species